rnacentral:rRNA from 1 species
UACGUAGGUGGCAAGCGUUGUCCGGAUUUACUGGGCGCAAAGGGCGUGCAGGCGGUCUGUUAAGUCUAGGGUGAAAGCUCCCGGCUCAACUGGGAGAGGUCCUUGGAUACUGGCGGACUUGAGGGAUGCAGAGGAAAGUGGAAUUCCCGGUGUAGUGGUGAUAUGCGUAGAUAUCGGGAGGAACACCAGUGGCGAAGGCGGCUUUCUGGGCAUUUCCUGACGCUGAGACGCGAAAGCGUGGGGAGCGAACCGG